rnacentral:rRNA from 1 species
UCCAGACUCCUACGGGAGGCAGCAGUGGGGGAUAUUGCACAAUGGGGGGAACCCUGAUGCAGCGACGCCGCGUGGGUGAAGGAGCGUUUCGGCGCGUAAAGCCCUCUCGGCAGGGAAGAAGGAGGACGGUACCUGACUAAGGAGCCCCGGCUAACUACGUGCCAGCAGCCGCGGUAAUACGUAGGGGGCAAGCGUUAUCCGGAUUUACUGGGUGUAAAGGGGGCGCAGACGGCAGCGCAAGCCAGGAGUGAAAGCCCGGGGCCCAACCCCGGGACUGCUCUUGGAACUGCGCGGCUGGAGUGCAGGAGGGGCAGGCGGAAUUCCUGGUGUAGCGGUGAAAUGCGUAGAUAUCAGGAGGAACACCGGUGGCGAAGGCGGCCUGCUGGACUGCGACUGACGUUGAGGCCCGAAAGCGUGGGGAGCAAACAGGAUUAGAUACCCGCGUAAG